rnacentral:rRNA from 1 species
GACGUAGGUGGCGAACGUUAUCCGGAAUCAUUGGGCGUAAAGGGUGCGUAGAUGGCAUAAUAAGUUAUUAGUGGGAAAUCGAGGCUCAACCUCGUGGAAGCUGGUAAUACUGUUUUGCUUGAGUGCAGGAGAGGUUAACGGAACUCCAUGUGGAGCGGUAAAAUGCGUAGAUAUAUGGAAGAACAUCAAUAGCGGCGAAGGCAGUUAACUAUUCUGUUACUGACAUUGAGGCACGUAAGCGUGGGGAGCAAAUCGG